GCAACAGCAUGCAGUCUACUUUUGUACUAUCCCAUGGAAAUGCUGCCUGUCUGGAACGUGACAUUCAACAGUAUGGCUCUAUUAAAGACAAUCUUUGAAGAGUAUUUCCCAUUUCCACCACAUGAGUGGCAGAACAAGCUCCAGGUAGAGGUUGUUCUGUCACAGUGUCCUGAAAUGACCCAGAUAUACAAAACAGACUGGACACACUUGUGA
rnacentral:lncRNA from 1 species